rnacentral:rRNA from 1 species
AUUGAACGCUGGCGGCAUGCCUAACACAUGCAAGUCGAACGAGUGGCGGACGGGUGAGUAAUGUCUGGGAAACUGCCUGAUGGAGGGGGAUAACUACUGGAAACGGUAGCUAAUACCGCAUACCAUCGGAUGUGCCCUGAGGGCAUUAGCUAGUAGGUGGGGUAAAGGCUCACCUCGGCGACGAUCCCGAGCUGGUCUGAGAGGAUGACCAGCCACACUGGAACUGAGACACGGUCCAGACUCCUACGGGAGGCAGAAGUGGGGAAUAUUGCACAAUGGGCGCAAGCCUGAUGCAGCCAUGCCGCGUGUAUGAAGAAGGCCUUCGGGUUGUAAAGUACUUUCAGCGGGGAGGCGUUACCCGCAGAGAAAGCACCGGCUAACUCCGUGCCAGCAGCCGCGGUAAUAC